GAUGAACGCUGGCGGCGUGCCUAAUACGUGCAAGUAGAACGCUGAAGGAAGGAGCUUGCUCUUUCCGGAUGAGUUGCGAACGGGUGAGUAACGCGUAGGUAACCUGCCUGGUAGCGGGGGAUAACUAUUGGAAACGAUAGCUAAUACCGCAUAACAGUAGAUGUUGCAUGAUAUCUACUUAAACGGUGCAAUUGCACUACUACCAGAUGGACCUGCGUUGUAUUAGCUAGUUGGUGAGGUAACGGCUCACCAAGGCGACGAUACAUAGCCGACUUGAGAGGGUGGUCGGCCACACUGGGAAUGGGAAACGGCCCAGACUCCUACGGGAGGCAGCAGGAGGGAAUCUUCGGCAAUGGACGGAAGUCUGACCGAGGAACGCCGCGGGAGUGAAGAAGGUUUUCGGAUCGUAAAGCUCUGUUGUAAGAGAAGAACGAGGGUGAGAGUGGAAAGUUCACACUGUGACGGUAUCUUAACAGAAAGGGACGGCUAACUACGUG
rnacentral:rRNA from 1 species